rnacentral:pre_miRNA from 1 species
GCAGAUGAAUUUGAGUGUUGGAUGGGACCAAAUCUUACUGCCGGGUGUGGCAAGAUUUGGUUUCCUCCAAUAUCUUAUGUUCAUAUGUCAGACGCUGGGUGUUAGCUACAAGCCUACAACAAGUGAUAGUUGGAUGGACACCUGGGCCUGUCUCAAGAACCUAACCUCGCAAGCUGAAUGUGAGAUUUGGAUGGAACCAAAUCUUCAGCUAUAGUGGCACAAGAUUUGGUUUCCUCCAAUAUCUCAUCUUCAACUG